rnacentral:rRNA from 1 species
AUUGAACGCUGGCGGCAUGCCUUACACAUGCAAGUCGAACGGCAGCACGGGAGCAAUCCUGGUGGCGAGUGGCGAACGGGUGAGUAAUAUAUCGGAACGUGCCCAGUCGUGGGGAUAACGUAGCGAAAGCUACGCUAAUACCGCAUACGAUCUAUGGAUGAAAGCGGGGGAUCGCAAGACCUCGCGCGAUUGGAGCGGCCGAUAUCAGAUUAGGUAGUUGGUGAGGUAAAGGCUCACCAAGCCGACGAUCUGUAGCUGGUCUGAGAGGACGACCAGCCACACUGGGACUGAGACACGGCCCAGACUCCUACGGGAGGCAGCAGUGGGGGAUUUUGGACAAUGGGCGCAAGCCUGAUCCAGCAAUGCCGCGUGCAGGAUGAAGGCCUUCGGUUGUAACUAGUCUUUGUUACGGUAACGAACGGUA